AGUGGCGGGCGGGUGAGGAACACGUGGGAACCUGCCUUUUGGUUUGGAACAACCGCGGGAAACUGCGGCUAAUACCGGAUACGCCCCUGAGGUGACUUGGGGGGAAAGAUUUAUCGCCGAGAGAGGGGCCCGCGUCUGAUUAGGUAGUUGGUGGGGUAAUGGCCUACCAAGCCUACGAUCAGUAGCUGGUCUGAGAGGAUGAUCAGCCACACUGGGACUGAGAUACGGCCCAGACUCCUACGGGAGGCAGCAGUGGGGAAUAUUGGACAAUGGGGGCAACCCUGAUCCAGCAAUGCCGCGUGAGUGAUGAAGGCCUUCGGGUUGUAAAGCUCUUUUACCAGGGACGAUGAUGACGGUACCUGGAGAAUAAGCCCCGGCUAACUUCGUGCCAGCAGCCGCGGUAAUACGAAGGGGGCAAGCGUUGUUCGGAAUUACUGGGCGUAAAGGGCGCGUAGGCGGUUUUACGAGUCAGGCGUGAAAUUCCCGGGCUUAACCUGGGGGCUGCGUUUGAUACUGUAAGGCUUGAAUUCGGGAGAGGAUGGCGGAAUUCCCAGUGGAGAGGUGAAAUUCGUAGAUAUUGGGAAGAACACCGGUGGCGAAGGCGGCCAUCUGGCCCGAGAUUGACGCUGAGGCGCGAAAGCAUGGGGAGCAAACAGGAUUAGAUACCCUGGUAGUCCAUGCUGU
rnacentral:rRNA from 1 species